ACUCUCAACACACCAUUUGGAGAGGAGAAGAGCCUCAAACAAGAUGUAGUCCAUCUUAGAAUAGGGAGAAUGUGAGGUGAGAGCUUUGGUGAAAACCAAGCUAAAGGAGCGGUGCUGAAUUAUUUCAGCCUUACUCCACUUUUGUAAGCCACCUCAGAGGAAUGAAAUAUCUUUGGAGCGAAGUUCCUCGUCUCUGGAAAUAAUCCUGAAAGUCAUGGAUUCAAGGUCUUGUCAUCAUCCAUAAUAGAUGCUGGAUGGCGGAUAGAUUGUCAUGCCAUGGGUUGCCACACACCUAGUUGUGCCUGCUAAGAAACGACAAUCACCUUCUAGCCUGCUGUGUAUUUACAAGACAGGUGUGAAUCGAAUGUUGAAUAUCUGGACUCUGUUUUUUUUUAAUGCACCCGGAGGGGAAGCCCCUACAGGUUAUAUGCUAAAACAGGAAAUGUAAGUUAGAGCAACAAAAGCAAAACAAAGAAAUAAAAGACAAGGGAGAAGAUGGAACUCAUUCCACUUUA